CAGACUUUGGGCGGAGUAAAACCUCUCGCUUCACAUGAACAUGCAUAAAUCCAUCAUCCAACAACAGCUGCGAGUUGGACAGGUCAGGGGUCGAAAGAUUUCCCAUGAGCAUUAUGACAAACGUAUUUGUUGCCACUACAACAACAAAAAUGUAUUCCGUCUUGCAUGGAAAAAGGAAACGGGGAGAUGCAACUUUCCCGAUCCCUGUGGACCAAUACAUCAGUAUUGUGUAUUCACAAUACAUUGGUUUUGAGUCAAAUAAUAUAAGAAGGGAAAAUGUAUUUAUUCACAUUUGAUUUGAUGAUAACUGCAAUCAACAGGAUCAAUAGGAGGAUACGCAUAUGUCAUUUUCUUCACAUUCCCUGGACUGACUGAUGAUGAACCAGAGGAUGAGAAGAGAGAGGUACAGGGAGCGACAGAGGAGAGACACAGAGAGGGGCAGACGGAGCCAACCCUGUCUACCUCUAUGUACCCUCUCUCCAACUACAGCAUGUUGUCAUUAUUACACUGGUGCAGAGAUGGAUAGCAUAGCUUGCUGUAUGUUUAGUCAGUAAGAAAACAUUCUGGUGAGCAUGGGUAUCUUAAUAAAGGAAGGAUUACGCUA